UACGUAGGGUGCGAGCGUUGUCCGGAAUUACUGGGCGUAAAGAGCUCGUAGGUGGUUUGUCGCGUUGUUCGUGAAAACUCACAGCUUAACUGUGGGCGUGCGGGCGAUACGGGCAGACUGGAGUACUGCAGGGGAGACUGGAAUUCCUGGUGUAGCGGUGGAAUGCGCAGAUAUCAGGAGGAACACCGGUGGCGAAGGCGGGUCUCUGGGCAGUAACUGACGCUGAGGAACGAAAGCGUGGGUAGCGAACAGG
rnacentral:rRNA from 1 species